GGGCGCGUGGCGCAGUCUGGAUAGCGCACUUGGCUUCGGACCAAGGGGUCGGGGGUUCGAAUCCUCCCGCGCUCA
rnacentral:tRNA from 1 species